rnacentral:tRNA from 1 species
UUUAGUGGUAAAACUA